rnacentral:rRNA from 1 species
UACGGAGGAUCCGAGCGUUAUCCGGAUUUAUUGGGUUUAAAGGGUGCGUAGGCGGCCUGUUAAGUCAGGGGUGAAAGACGGUAGCUUAACUAUCGCAGUGCCUUUGAUACUGACGGGCUUGAAUGUACUUGAGGUAGGCGGAAUGUGACAAGUAGCGGUGAAAAUGCAUAGAUAUGUCACAGAACACCAAUUGCGAAGGCAGCUUACUAAAAGUAUGAUUGACGCUGAGGCGCGAAAAGCGUGGGGAGCGAACAGG